UGGACUCCUUGAGGUCACCUGGUGGAAUUAACCUGGCAGAUGGGCUGGUCAGGCGGGUCUAAGGCAGCCUCAUUCAUACGUCUGGUGCCUUGACAGAGAUGGCUGAAAAAUUACUCAUCUGGGAUUGUCAGUCACAGCGCCUUCAUGUUGCCUCGGUAGCUGGCACUCGCAGGCUAGUCUUACUCCUUACGUGGCUGCUCAAGGCUCCUAGAGGACAUUUCUAAGAGACUAAGGCAGAAGCUACGAGCUUCUUCUCACCAGCCUAGGAGGUCAUGCCGUAGCACAUUCUAUUGAUGAAGCACUUUUCUAGAGCCAACCUAGAUUCAAGGGGGAAAGAGUUAGACUCUACCUCUUAGUGGGAGAAGUAGCAAAAAAAAAAAAAAGGUGCAGUCAUCUUUAAUCUGCCAUUGUUAACUAGCAGUUUAUUAUUUUUACAUCUAUAUUUCAUAAAUGAGAUUGCAGUUUUCCUGUUAACUAUGCUUACCUGUUUUUGAUGCCAAAGUUAUGCCAGCCUCAUUAAAAUGAGAUGAUGCACCUUCUCCUCUGCACCUAGACACCAGACCCUCAGAGGCACCUCUGCUUACUUACACUACAAAGUACAGGGAGACCAUCAGGCUCCAAGAGAAGCACUGACUGUGACGGGACUGGAGCAGGUCCAAACUGAUGUCAGGGGCCGGGACCUUACAGACAGGGCCGUGCGGGGUUGGCGUGGAGGCCAGCACGUGCAGACGCGGGGAGGAGGGCACGGCGAGGAGAGGGAAGAUCGUGUCCAAAGGACCCCUGCCCAGCACGACUGUCCCUGGAAAAUGAGAAAGGAUGUGGAGCUCAUUGUGUGUUUUUACGAUGUUCAGCGUAUUUAAUCCUUUUCUGCCUACGGCGGUUCACUCUUCACAGGGGUCUUGGGGAUUUGGCCAAUUGUGAGAAUGUCUGUGGUGAUAUUAAAGCUCACUGU